AACUCUGAGCGGUGGAUCACUCGGCUCGUGUGUCGAUGAAGAGCGCAGCCAACUGUGUGAAUUAAUGUGAACUGCAAACUGCUUUGAACAUCGACAUCUUGAACGCACAUUGCGGCCAUGGGUUAGCCCAUGGCCACGCCUGUCCGAGGGUCGGCUU
rnacentral:rRNA from 1 species